GGCUCAAACUCACAAACCGUGAGAUCGUGAUCUGAGCUGAGAUCAGGAGCCAGAUGCUUAACCGGCUGAGCCACCCAGGCACCCCCAUGAUCCAAUUUUUUUUUAAAAGGAAGUUCACUUUGCCAAAAGUUUGGAGGACAGGCCAUAGUGAAGGGGCUUAGAAACUACAUAAAACUGACACUUUCAAAUGUUUACAUUUCUCUUCCAUUCAUAUCUAAUAGUACAUGGAAAAUGUUGAAGUAAACAGGUUUUACUAUCAGCACUCAGAUUUGGGGAUGGUGUAUGUGACAAGGACAAUAUUUUGAACAUAUUAAACCAAUGUAUAUUUGUUCUGCUUGAAUCAUCACGCCUAUGGUUCCCCGCCCAUCAACUCAGUAGGCUCCCCUUCUGCAGGCAAAUGGUGGAUCCCAUUAGAAACAGCAAGCUGUCAUCAUUCAGCGUUGAGAGAGAAUAACCCUGAAUGCCAACUUCGUAUGAAUUUACUAGAACAAGUUGGCACUACCCAGGCGGCCUAUUAGAAAGUGCCAAGGAAACUGUGUGGACAGCACGGCGAGGAGAAAGUAGCUGGGAGUUCACCGGUGGCCCACAGGAGUUGAGCACUCAGGCGAGAAAAGCAGGUGACUAGAUCUGACCAGAAAGCUGCUAGGGGCUUGCCACGAGAGUUUCCUACCAGGACCACAGACUUCAGCAGCCAGAGCAAGUGGCCAGGCCCUGGGCGGAGUGCAUAUCACACCCAUGGUCACCUAGAGGCCAGCAUGGCAUCACACCGAGCCCUGACCACCAGCUCUCCAUGAACCCGAUGUUGAGCAGCAGGCUAAUGGAUCCCAGCAGGGUGCAAAGACAGCAGAAAGCACGGGAAUCAGAUGUCAAUGUGUUCCUCCAAGAUACCCUGCUAGGAUGGAGCUAACUAACUGGGCUCUCGUCUUCUCUUGGGGCACACGCUCUGAUGGGUCCCUGCCCACUCUUGACUUCCUAUAUGCUUCCUGAUUGAAAUGCUGUCACAGAUAAAUCAUGACUUCUGCCUGUUAGGACCAUUUUCUAUUUUUUUCAAAGAAAAGUUUGGAGCCAUCAGAUUAAAAAGACAAGCAAGUUCUGGAGAAUUAUAUACUCACACGUAAAUAUUAGUGUCGCAUCUCCCUACAAUAUAACUAUCUGUCAAUCUGGGAGUGUUCUGGGCAUGCUCCUUCUCCACGCACCACUUUGUUUAUAUAUUUUUAUGUAUUUUCUGGCAGUCACUUACAGUCAAUCACUAGAUUACUUAGGUAACUUCCUAACGAAUAGAUUUUAGGAGGAUUGGAGGAGUUGGCCUGCUUUUCCUUCAACAUUGGCCCUACCUGGAAGUUGAAGUUGUCUCAGAGAUAAGAGUUUCAGUUUUAAAUGCAGUGGGCAUCCAAAAUGUAGUUUGUGUGAGUUCCCACCUAGCACACUAGUAAGUAGCCCUUCAGGCACCCGAGACUAUCGAUAAUCUACCCUUGGCUUGGAGGAAGGACAAAACUCCGCAAACUGGAGUGAAAGAGGAAAGUGCUUGAUCUAUUUUGAAGUUUGACGUAUGCACAAGCUUUUCAACACCAUGAAGGGAAACCACUUCACCCAGUGAAAGUCAAUGAAGUCAAAAAGCUGUACUAAAACCAUAUUUGUAUCCACCACUCAGCUCCCUCUCCACCCUGCUACUAAACUCCUUCCGCAUUCCACCUUCAGGCCAUCAGCCCAGUGCUUCGGUGAGCUUCCACCCUCACUAGGGGGCGCUCUCCACACUGCUCCCCUGCACGAGAUCCCAGCUCUCUCCAUGAGUAUCUACCUGCCUCAGGUUCUGCAUGAGGUUUCCAGCCACCCAAACCGCUCCACCUUGGGGGCAGGGUCCUGGCCAUGAAAAGGAACAUUCUUUGUCUCAUCUGUACUAUUCUGUAUCCUCUUCCCCUGCACCCAGACUGACCUAGCAAGGCCACCCUGGAUUUCUACACUCUACAUAAUUCAGACCAUGGCAUUUCAGAUAAUCCCUUUUUGAGAUUCUGGCCACCUGCAUACUUUCCCAUCUGCUUUCUAUUUUCUCAGGCUCUUUAUGACUGCACUUUCAUGUUUGAAACCUCAAUCUUCCCUUUUGGCAACAACCUGAGUUCCUGCAGACUUUUGCAGGAACUAGUGUCAUACCAGUGACUGCUCUUGCUUGGUGAGUUACUUCCUCAACGUUUUGUAUCUUUGCACUAAUGGUGAUUCCUGCCCACUGACUGAUUCCAUUUCAGCUCCAGGGCGCAACAGUGAAUGUCAGAUUGCCCAUUUAAAUAACGGACAAUCCCCUUCUCCCCCAACUGUGUGAGAUGGAACAAAAUAGGGACUCUCAGAGAGGACACUUAAAAUCAUUCAGCAAAGUUUCAGUUUGAGGGCUUUUUGAAAUACUGGUUUCAAAGACUUAUAAAGAAUUUACAAAUAAAAUCUGUGUUAUUUUUAAAAAUAAGUGAUGAUAAGACAUUUAAAAUGAACAUGAUUUUCAUACUUUGCUAGCUGAGAAGAC